UCACGUAUCCACGUACAAACCACUGUGAACUGUUCUCCCUUUCGGAGGUGCUGGGUUUGGCUAGAUCAAUAUCGCUCCGCUGUCGUGAUAGAAGUGUGGUCUAGCCGUUCCUGAACUCGCUUCAGGACGCCUGUAUCUUUGAAAGCGGUUAUUAUCACGCAACCUUAACCUUUAUUAACCCCUUUAACCUUUAUGAACUGAAAUUAAGCUUGAUGCGAAGGAGUGCCUCGGCAUUCUUGAAGUCAAGUCUUUAUUACGAAACUAAGAA
rnacentral:misc_RNA from 1 species